GAGGGUAUAGCUCAGUGGUAGAGCAUGUGCCUGAGGUCCUGGGUUCAAUUCUCAGUACCUCCA
rnacentral:tRNA from 1 species